rnacentral:rRNA from 1 species
UGGGGAAUUUUGGACAAUGGGCGAAAGCCUGAUCCAGCAAUGCCGCGUGUGUGAAGAAGGCCUUCGGGUUGUAAAGCACUUUUGUCCGGAAAGAAAUCCUUGGCUCUAAUACAGUCGGGGGAUGACGGUACCGGAAGAAUAAGCACCGGCUAACUACGUGCCAGCAGCCGCGGUAAUACGUAGGGUGCAAGCGUUAAUCGGAAUUACUGGGCGUAAAGCGUGCGCAGGCGGUUUGCUAAGACCGAUGUGAAAUCCCCGGGCUCAACCUGGGAACUGCAUUGGUGACUGGCAGGCUAGAGUAUGGCAGAGGGGGGUAGAAUUCCACGUGUAGCAGUGAAAUGCGUAGAGAUGUGGAGGAAUACCGAUGGCGAAGGCAGCCCCCUGGGCCAAUACUGACGCUCAUGCACGAAAGCGUGGGGAGCAAACAGGAUUAGAUACCCUGGUAGUCCACGCCCUAAAACGGUGUCAACUAGUUGUUGGGGAUUCAUUUUCCUUAGUAACGUAGCUAACGCGUGAAGUUGACCGCCUGGGGAGUACGGUCGCAAGAUUAAAACUCAAAUGAAUUGACGGGGUCAUAGCUG